CUAGAGUUAUUUGUAUAUCGCCUCAUGCCCUCAACACAUCGCUCAAGCAAAUAAAUUUAUGGUAGCCAUCUCCAUCCACAGGUUUUACUGGAUUCAUCUCAUCCUACAAAUAUUUUGAUUCCCAGUUUGAAGAUUACAAAGAAAGCAACCGUAGUGGAAGAACAUUGAUAUCAAUUUCAGGACUCUUUGUGUGGACUUUGCAGGUUAGUAUGUGUUUUGUUGUUUUCUUUAAUAGUAUGGAGGUAUUAGUCUUUAAUAGUAUGAGGGUAUAAUUCUUGUUUGCUAUAUGUAUAGGUUAUAUACUUAAUGGAUAUAAGUUGGAUAAAUAUAUUAAUAGGCUUGAUCCUUUAUAUGAGAAUGGAGCCAAAGAGUUUCUUCAUUUUGCAUCAUUAGAUAGGCCAGAUGCAUUUGCAAUAUUGUGUCCAUGUCGAAAGUGUCGUAAUAUGAAAUUUGUUCGAAAAGAUUUGAUUGUUGAACAUAUUGUGGUUGAUGGAUUUCUAACUAGUUACACUAGUUGGAUUUAUCACGGUGAGGAGCUAUUUUCAUCAAAAUUGGUCAAUCAGUUAGAUAAAGGUGAUGAGAUGCAAGACAUGUUACAUGAAGCAUUUGGAAUUCCUCCUACAUCUAAUUUUGUUGAUAUGGACACUAGUGCAGAAGGAUUUGAUGGGUCAAAUCAACAUAACAUGGGUUUUGAUAAGAAGACUGAAGAAUUCUUUAGCUUACUGAAAGAAGUUGAACGUGAGUUAUAUCCUGGAAGCAAGUAUUCACUACUUUCGUUCCUUGUUCGUCUAUUACACUUAAGGUGUCUCAAUGGAUGGAGUAACAAAUCA